AUGAACGCUAGCGGCAGGCUUAACACAUGCAAGCGAGGGGCAUCGGGAGUAGCAAUACUUGCCGGCGACCGGCGCAAGGGUGCGUAACGCGUGAGCAACAUGCCCGUAUCAGGGGGAUAAUCCAUGGAAACGUGGUCUAAUACCCCAUAGUAAUUAUGUAAGGCAUCUUAUAUAAUUUAAAGCUUUGGUGGAUACGGAUUGGCUCGCGUGACAUUAGCUGGAUGGUAAGGUAACGGCUUACCAUGGCUACGAUGUCUAGGGGUUCUGAGAGGAAGGUCCCCCCACACUGGAACUGAGACACGGUCCAGACUCCUACGGGAGGCAGCAGUGAGGAAUAUUGGACAAUGGAUGGAAAUCUGAUCCAGCCAUGCCGCGUGCAGGAAAGACGGCCCUAUGGGUUGUAAACUGCUUUUGUAUGGGAGCAAUAAGGGCUACGUGUAGUCCGAUGAGAGUACCAUACGAAUAAGCACCGGCUAACUCCGUGCCAGCCGCAGC
rnacentral:rRNA from 1 species